UGCUCUUAUCACUAACCUCAUAUAUAUGACGCCACCAUCGCUCUGUUCGCCAUGCAACAUAUCUUAUGAACCAACAAGACUUUCAGCUCCACAUGUCCACACAUGUAACGACGCUACAGCCGCUACUCCCAGCCAUAUCGUCAGCCUUCUUGUUACCUUUAAAGCAAACGGUAACGCUCCACAGCAGCAGGGAGACCUUUUCCGCGUCACCUUCCUUCCUUCCCCUCCUCCAGCAGAGAGCCUGCUGACGCAUCGCACGUCGCAACUACGGAUCCAGACCAUAGAGAUCAUGGCUGGAAUCCCAUUCCAAUGGAGAGGAGCC
ensembl:lncRNA